UACGGGGGGGGCAAGCGUUGUUCGGAAUUACUGGGCGUAAAGGGCUCGUAGGCGGCCAACUAAGUCAGACGUGAAAUCCCUCGGCUUAACCGGGGAACUGCAUCUGAUACUGGAUGGCUUGAGUUCGGGAGAGGGAUGCGGAAUUCCAGGUGUAGCGGUGAAAUGCGUAGAUAUGUGGAGGAACACCGAUGGCGAAGGCAGCCCCCUGGGUCAAAACUGACGCUCAUGCACGAAAGCGUGGGGAGCAAACAGG
rnacentral:rRNA from 1 species